rnacentral:rRNA from 1 species
AUGGUAGACAGAACCUACUACUACCAUGAUGAAGCACAAUUAACUUAUAAGGAGCAAGAUGGUCUUAUCGCAUUUUUUACUGAUAUUGAGAAUUACAAUAGCUAUUAUCAAACUCCUCCACAUUAUGGUCAAUAUGUGCCACUAGUGAACGUGUUGAACUACGGUAACAUCAAUGGAGAUAUCAUGAAAAUCCCGAUGGAUUGUGUGCCGCAUCUGAUGUUGACGAGAGGUCGCGUUAAUGUUAUGAGCUUACGGCCACCACAGCCAGUUCAGCCGCAGUAUCCACAUUACUCCUGUCCAUACCGGAUUUCUAAAAACGAGGAAGCCAUGAUAAUAGAUGAUUUCAAAAAAUGUUUGAACCAUCGUAGAGAGCUACUUGGAAGCAACAUUGUGCGUAGGCCAAGACUUGGAGACAGGAUGAUCUCCGUUCUUUAUUAUGGAGAGUCAAUUUUCCUUAAUGCAGCAUCAAUGCCUAUCUUGUUUUAUGAUAUUUUACCUAAGAGAGGGUAG